AGAGGAGCGGAAGUUGUAGCCGCAGCUGGAUGAACCUCAUUUGCGGGAGCUAGGACAGGAGACUUCCCCGUUUGUGGCAGUCCCCAGCCGGAGACAGGGACGAAGCAGCACCUGCCAGGAUGAACGGUUUGCUCCCCGCCCCCAGGAGGGAGGAGACCUUCCCGCCCCCUCCACUAUCACGUGGGAAAACAAAUGCUGCGGCCGCUGCCCUGCCCUGUCCCUGUGGCCCGGCGAGGUGGAGGGCGGGCCGCGUGCAGCACCAUGAAGAUGCAUUUCAGCAUCCCCGUCUCGGAGCAGCUGCUGGAGAAGUUCGGGGGCCGCUACGUGCUGUACUCGGUGUACCUGGAAGGCUUCCUCUUCUGCAAGGUGCGCUACAGCCAGCUACACCACUGGAACGAUCAGCUAAGACGGAUCUUUGGGAGUACCGUGCCUGCUUUCCCUCCAAAGUUCUAUCUUGCAAUGACCAAGUCCAUGGCUGAUGAGAGGAGGUCUCAACUUGAGCAAUAUCUACAGAGUGUAACUGUAGAUCCAAGUAUUACAAACAGUGAUGUCUUCAUCAGUUUUUUUAGAAAAUUACAGCAGGAUACAUUUAAGAUCCAGACACAGAGAGCCUCUCUGGAUGUUUACCUGGCUGAUGGAAGGAAUGUUAGGCUUGAUAUCCAGACAUCGGACACUGCUGAAAGAGUACUAGAGGUUGUCUCAUACAAGAUGGGGCUGUCAAGAGAAUUAAUAGGAUAUUUUAGCUUAUUUUUUAUUCAAGAUCACAGCAAUGGAGUUCUCUCUGUGGUGAAAAAAGUGGCAGAAUUUGAACUUCCCUACGUGAGUCUUCAGAGUAUGAAAGAGUCAGACUGUAAGAUUGGGAUCAGAAAAUGGUAUAUGGAUCCCUCUCUUGAUAAAAUGUUAAUGGACUGUAGAGCUUCAGUGAAUUUACUCUAUAUGCAGGCACUGCAGGAAAUUGAGAAGAAUUGGGUCAAACCCACAGAUGGACAGAUGCAGAAACUGGAAUCGCUACAAAAAGCGGCAAACAAAAUGAAGGUUCUAGAGCUGGUUCAGGAAGUGCAGCACUAUGGAUAUAUACAGCUUGAUCCCUGCACCUGUGACUAUCCAGAAGUAGGCUCUUCUGCUGCUGUUCAUGUAGGAAAUAAUGAGAUUAGCUGCUGCAUAAAGUUACCUAGUAACCAGACCAAAGAGGUCAGCUUCAAGAUCAACAGGGUGAGGUGCUGGCAGGUCACUUUUCUAGGCGCUAUUACACAGCCAAAAGACCAAGGACACGAGCAGACCCUAGAGCUCAGGUUCGAGUACAAUGAUUCGGACUCAUGGAGAUGGAUCGUCUUUUACACAAAACAGGCAUUUCUACUGAGUAGCUGCUUAAAAAAGAUAAUAUCAGAACAGCUGAUGAAGACAACCAAAGGAGACAAAGAAAUGGUGUUUCUAUGGUGGUCUUAGCUAUAGUGACUGAGUGCUAAAUGUCAAUACCUUUGCUGACAUCCUGAAAUUUGACGGUAUUGUAGAACAGCUGUUAUGUUCAAUUAUUUUUCUUUAAGAAGUGAAAGGAAGAGAAUGCAUGUGGGCUGCCGGAUUAGUACUUGUAUUAUGAUAUCGCCAUGCUCAUUAAAGUGAACAGGAAGGCAACAAAUGACUUCUAUGUUCCGUUUUAAGCAAUUAAUAAACAAACAUUGGGUAAAUGGAGAUGGAGACCAAUUUGAAACUGAUUUAAUCUUUAAACCCCAAGUUAUUUGUAGUAGAGAUAUGCUAACAUUUUAAAUGUGGCAGUGAUGGCUAAUUUUCAAAUGCUGCUGCUACUACUGUUUAGUAGCUAUAGUGAUUUUGAACCGAAUUAAGGAAGUGUAAAUAAAUGAACUAAUGCCCUACUCCUGCUCCCAUUGGAUUCAACGGAAACUGGGCCAGGCCCAAUAUGGUUUGUCUGUAUACUUGUUUUCUUUGCAUUUUUACUGUGUUUUAAAUUUCAUUACUCUGUGUAGCAGAUUGAGAUGCCUGAAUCCCUGAAGAGUAAAAAAUCCAGCGUCCAACAAAGUCAGAUAGCUCACUCUGGUUUUAUACCAAGAAAAAGGAUUUUGGUUAGACCAAAUAAAGAGGAUGGUGUUUUUGAGAAGAUAAGAGAGG